AGCAUCUCCGAGUCUCUCUCCUUUUUCUCCUCUGAGUUACAUAGGAUAACUUGGCCAGAACUUACUGAUGACUGCACGGCCAGCGGAGCCGGGAAUGGGAAAUGCAGGAAGGCGCUCUUUGGCAGGAGCAGAAGAGGAGGCAUUUCAAAGAUCCUGCAGGUGACCGAGGUUGACUUGGAAAUCUUCAGUUUCAAAGAAUGUAAAUAUGUCUGAGUGAGUUCAUAUGGAGCAGAUGGGUUUUCAGGAAAAGGCAUCCAAUUUGAUAGAGUUCCAGAAAAAAACCCCCACAGAACUGGCAGAAGACAAAGUUCAAACCUUUGUUGUGAAUGUUUGCUGGUCCCUAAGUUGAUGCUACUUUGGGAAUUGACUUCAGUUGAGAUCAAGGCUUUGCUUAUAGGCUUGUGUGAGUGUUGCAAAUGAAGGUACUGAUCAUUAAAGCUGUGUCAGCUUCUCAGCAAUGAACUGAUGUUCUUUUUGGCUUAAGUUCAAUGUUCUUUGAACAAGGAGCCUUGAUUUACAUUAAGUGUUUCUCAGCUAUUCUUGGGAUAUUAAGCUGCUGUCUUGCUUCUGUUUGUGAAGCCACCAAAGAAACAAGCAAAAAAGAAAGAAAAAAAAAGGAAAAAACAAACAACAAACAAACAAACAAGCAAACAAAAACAACCAAAUAAGCCAGAAAACACAGAUGUAAGUCUGAUGGCUGCUGUUGAAUGUGCUUGUCCUUCCAUCUUGCAGCUGCAAAACUCGCAGCUUUGCAGGAGUAAACAGUUAUGUCUGAAAAGGGAAUUGACAAAAGCCAAAGUUCCACACCCAACCUAGCCCAGUGAUAUGAAUGAAAUCACAUUUUCUUGAUGCUUGUGGAAUGAAAGUGGAAGCUGUUACCAUGGAAAUAGUCAAUUUCUGAAAGAAGAAGUUUGGAGGAGGCAGAAUAUCACCACUAAUCUAAGAGUCUGCAGUCAAGACAAAAGGUUAAAGUUGGAGAUGCACUAAUUAGGAGAUAGCUGUGUCCCUGGUAAUGUGAGGAUGGAUACAAAGGAAUUCUGUUUAGUAAAAUGCUGUUGCCCUGCCUAAUCACUGGAACCUAUUGUUUUGGAUACAGAACACUGAUUAGAUUAAUCCCCAGUACAAAUCUGCUAAUUUGUGUUAAAAUAGGUAUACAUUUAAUGGAUAUGAAUAGGUACUAUAUCCUGGGAAGAUUCUUUGAAACACUUUGUUAAAGAAAAACAAACAACUUUUUAAGGGUUAAGUGUCCUCAUCCCCUUUUUAGAUACCUUUUCCUAGGCUUUGUUCUAUAUUUUACAAGCAAUUAUGUCUUCUCUGUCCUUUUCUCUGUCCUCAACACAUUUUCUGAGGUGCUGAAAUUACUGUGGUUCUUCAGAUUUCUCUUUAAAUGUGCUAAAAUUGUUAUCAGUAAACAGAGAAAAGGCUUUGUUAUUUCCGCUGCGCUUCCUCUGUUGAUUGACUGUGCCAUGACAAAGUGAAUAAUAUAGCAAAAUCAUCAUUGACAAACAGGAAUUUUUUGAGCUGGAUUCUCUCUGUUCUUACCAAGUAGCAAAUAUUCCCUGACUUCAGAAUGGCUGCAUUUCUCCACAAGAGGUAGAAGUAUGGCAACAUACUACUUUUAAUUUUCUCAGCUUUAGAGCACUGAAAUGCCAUCUGACCAACUGUGAAAGCACCU
rnacentral:lncRNA from 7 species